GGGCUUAUUUUGAUAGCACCUAAACUAAAAUUGGAAUGAUAUAGAAAGAUUAGCAAGGUCUUUGUGGGAAAAUGGCAUGAAAACUUGUGGAUAAUUCCAUAUUUUA
ensembl:snRNA U6 U6 spliceosomal RNA